GGACCGGUAGCUCAGAGGCCAGAGCAUUGCGCGGCCGGCUAACGGGGUAGCUCCCCGAAGGCGCAGUACACCUUAGCGGGUGGAAAAGCGCCGGCCGCCGUGUGUCGCACCCACACCCGCCGCGGGUUCGAAUCCCGCCCGGUCCA
rnacentral:tRNA from 1 species